AAAAAUUAGCUGGGCAUGGUGGCGCGUGCCUGUAAUCCCAGCUACUCAGGAGGCUGAGGCAGGAGAAUUGCCUGAACCCAGGAGGAAGAGGUUGCAGCAAACUGAGAUCCGGGCACUGCACUCCAGCCUGGGUGACAGAGGGAGACACCAUCUCAAAAAAAAAAACAAAAACAAAAAA